CUGCACAGUGUUUUUAGGCUAAUGCGCAGUAAGCAACUUACGUAGACGUGCCCGCAUUGUGCUAAAGUAGUACUUACAAUUGAUACCAGAACAUAUAUUGUCUUUCCAUUCUGAGUAUCCUCUUAUUCUUUCUGUCCACACACUGUUAAAAGCACAUUCGUGUUCAGGAGAUAAAUGUUAAAGCAAUUCAGAAACGGAAGAAUUACCAAUGCGGCUGCAAACGUGAUUUGGUAGCCUUGUGCGCUGUAUUUACAGAUUCAUUUCAAUGGCUACUUGAACCUGCUUGCAGCUGCAGCCUGAACUAGACCUGCCAGUUGAAUGGCAGAAGGGAUAUGGCUUAUGAAAAUGAAAGGCAGGCUGCAUCGCCUUCUCUGCUGAAGAGCUUUGCUUGAGGACAUUGCCAAGCCACCUUUUUUCAAAUAAGAAAUUUAGAAUAACGUUUUGGAAGUUGGAGCCCCUACCAUAUCCUAGGGCUGUGUUGAGCUUUUAAAUGAGACUGCCCUUUGGCUUUGCAUCCCAUGCAGGCUCAGGGCUAGUGCCAGGCCAAGAAAUUUCUGAGACAAAAUGUCUCCUGCUUAACGUCCUUGUUUCACGGGCGUUGGAAUAUAGAGCCUCUCUUUGGGUAGCAUGCAGUUCCCCCAUCACAUCCAGUUUGCAUGUGGUUUUUCCUUUCCUUCCCCCACACUUCCAGUGUAGGCAAGGAGGAAGGCAAGUGUUGUAGAAGUUGGCUGCAAGACCCAGCAACUCCCCCAGCUCUGCUCCUGACUGCACACGUUCUGCUUCCUGUGGGAGUGCAGAUGGAGGACACUAAAUUAUAUAGAUACUGCUUAUCCCAGAUUGUGAGAAGAGGCUUCUUGGCGAUCCUUACAGCCACGGAAAGCUUUGCAGGUUAACACUUGGGGAUCUCGGUCUCAGUCUCGCCAGUGUGCAAUUAUCAUACCUUAAAGUUUCAGCCCUUCUAAGUAUGCCACAGGCUACCUCAAACUCUCAGUCCUCCUAUUUGCCCUUUAUGACUUCUUCCGUGCCAUCGGUCAGGAUGUCCGCUGAGACUUCCUCUCAGUUCCCUAAAACCAACUGCAGUCUCCCAUACCAAGGACUCUGCACGUGUUUCAUGAGCAAGCCAUGUCCCCAGUGCUCAGAGCCUGGGGAAGGUUUGCUUCUUCAACUCUGUGCAAGCUCUGGGAGGUAAAACAUUUCAGAUAUGUCACUAAACAUUUCAGAUUUUCUUAGGUCUUCCCUUGUAGUUAUAACUGAUUACUAGAUAAAACCUAGAGAUUUGAAUACAUUUCUUGAACAUUGACACACUUUUUUUUACCUAUGAAUCUGUAUUUUGUGACUUGAGCCACUCGUGUAGCAAGCAUUAAAAGGCAUAGCCUUGCUUGUGCAUGGACUCUCAUUGCCUGUGUUCAUCAGGCUGAAUUUCAUCCCAGUGAAUGUCAAUGUUGCAUCUUGAUACAUAGACUCAUGAAUUUUUCUACGCUAUCAUUUUUAAUUAAUAUGGCUUCCUCCAUUAUUUGUACAGCUACAAGCCAGUUCUCCUUAAUGGUGGGCAGCUUGCAUGAGAAAAUGGAACAGUUUCACUCUGGCCUGCACAGCUUACCUUUACAUAUUCAAAUAUUUUUGAAAAAUAAACUUGCAUGGUACUGCUAAACAUGCAGUCGUUUUCCAACAUAGUCUCUCCUUCUCCAUCGGUGGCUUUUUCCAGUGGUGAACAAGGGUUUGUAUCCUGACCUUGCAAAAGUCCUUGUCCUUGUUGUACAGUCGCUGUUGCACAGCUUCCAUCAUUUUGCCAUCACCCCGAAAGUGUCCCCCUCAUAAUUUGUUCUUCAAGGCAAUAAAAAGAUGGCAAUCAAGGGUACCAAGUCUGGGCUGGACUGAGGACGGGGCAGCGCAGUCCAUUCAAAUGAUGCCAUUGUCUCUGAGGUGCGCAAACUGUUGUGUGGGUGAGCACUGCCACACAGAAGCAGCGUCUUGGGCAUGUCUCCCUUGGGACACAUUAAAACGGGCUCGCAUGCAGUUUUCAGCUGGAAGUGCAGGCUCCUGUUCUUGGACAGAAUUUUUUUGCGCUGGCUGCUACUGGUUUGCUUUGAAGGGAAAAAUUAGGAAGCAGUACUUUCUGACUGAA